rnacentral:lncRNA from 1 species
AUCCUGCCAGCCCUUGUCCCCCCAGAAGAGCUGCACCACGGCCCUGUCCUGGGAGGAAGGUCCCCCCCGUUAGGCUCCAUCCUCCACACCUCCCCCCACCUCCACAGGGACCCCCCCGGGACCUCCCCACCUGAGCCGUGCUGGAGCUCGGCGAGGUGCUGGGCAGAGCCGGUGUCUGCCCCUCGGGCUCCUGCUGGCCCUCGUCCUCCCUGAAGAGCUGCACCACGAUGUUCUCCUGCGGGAGGGAUGCCAAAAUCAAGGCAGGUGGGGGGGGGCGCUGCUGCCACAAGUCCCAGCCUCUGAGGGGGGGGACCCCGAAGGGCUCAGUGCUCCCUGGCACUCACCCAGGGUGGGGCCUCCUCCUUGCUCUCAGCAGCAUCGGUGCUGGGGCCAGGCUGGGGGGACAGGGCCAGUCUCCACUUCAGGGGGCGCUGCGGGGUGACGCUGCCGUCAGCGUGGGGGGGAGGGGGGUGGGCUUGGACCCCCACCCCCCCGGCUUGUCACCCACCUGGUGGGUGCCCAACACGCGGCUGCGGGGGGUGAGGCGCGGCGUGCGGAAGAAGCGCUCUUUGGAUGCCUCAAAGCGCUGCAGGGCGAGAUGGCGGGCAGAGGGAUUUUGGGGUGGGGGGGCUCAGCACUGGCACCUGCCCCUUCACCCCCCCCCCCAUACAAACCAUGGCCUUGGUGAUGGGCACACGGCGAGCCAAGCCGACGUUGGAGGGUCCAGAUGCUCGGGGGGGGUCAGUGCCUGCAGGCGGGGGGGGUCCUGAGCACCAGUACAGCCCCCCCCCAGUGCAGGGCGGCAGCGUGGGGGGCACAGGGGGCGUACCUGGGGUGCUGCUUUCAUUCGAGGGGCGGUCUGGGAGCAUGGACGCGCUCUCCUGGGUAAGGAGGGAACCUGGCGGUUCAGCUUGGGCUCCCCCCGCGGUUUGUGGGAGCCCCUGUGCCCCCCGGGCAGCUCCUGCGGUGCCCCUGGCCGAGGAGGGGACGCGGGCGGGCACUCGGCGGGCCAGGCAGGGUCUGCCCCCCGUGGCUCCCCCCGUCUCGCUCAGCUGCUCACUGGGCAGGACAGGGGCCAGCGCAGCCGGGAGGGUCUCUGU